UGGGGAAUAUUGCACAAUGGGGGAAACCCUGAUGCAGCGACGCCGCGUGAGCGAUGAAGGCUUUCGAGUCGUAAAGCUCUGUCCUAUGGGAAGAUAAUGACGGUACCAUAGAAGAAAGCCCCGGCUAAUUACGUGCCAGCAGCCGCGGUAAUACGUAAGGGGCGAGCGUUAUCCGGAUUUACUGGGCGUAAAGGGCGUGUAGGCGGCUAGAUAAGUGUGAUGUUUAAAUCCAAGGCUUAACCUUGGGGUUCAUUACAAACUGUUUAGGUUGAGUGCUGGAGAGGAUAGUGGAAUUCCUAGUGUAGCGGUAAAAUGCGUAGAUAUUAGGAGGAACACCGGUGGCGAAGGCGGCUAUCUGGACAGUAACUGACGCUGAGGCGCGAAAGCGUGGGGAGCAAACAGG
rnacentral:rRNA from 1 species